rnacentral:rRNA from 1 species
AGAGUUUGAUCCUGGCUCAGGACGAACGCUGGCGGCGUGCCUAACACAUGCAAGUCGAGCGGGGACAUACGGAACGAGGGAUUCGUCCCAAGGGAAAUAUGUUCCAGCGGCGGACGGGUGAGUAACGCGUGAACGAUCUGUCCCUGACAGGGGGAUAACACAUGGAAACAGGUGCUAAUACCGCAUAAGACCACAGCGCUGCAUGGCGCAGGGGUCAAAGGAGGAAUCCGGUGAGGGGUGAGUUCGCGUCUGAUUAGAUAGUUGGUGAGGUAACGGCCCACCAAGUCAACGAUCAGUAGCCGACCUGAGAGGGUGAUCGGCCACAUUGGAACUGAGACACGGUCCAAACUCCUACGGGAGGCAGCAGUGGGGAAUAUUGGGCAAUGGGCGAAAGCCUGACCCAGCAACGCCGCGUGAGGGAUGAAGGUUUUCGGAUUGUAAACCUCUGUCCUUGGUGACGAAGGAAGUGACGGUAGCCAAGGAGGAAGCCCCGGCUAACUACGUGCCAGCAGCCGCGGUAAUACGUAGGGGGCGAGCGUUGUCCGGAAUGACUGGGCGUAAAGGGCGCGUAGCGGUUUUAUAGUUAGAGUGAAAUCCAGUUUUUAAGGKUGGAACUGCUUUUAAUACUGUAGGACUUGAGUGCAGAAGAGGUAAGCGGAAUUCCCAGUGUAGCGGUGAAAUGCGUAGAGAUUGGGAAGAACACCAGUGGCGAARGCGGCUUACUGGGCUGUAACUGACGCUGAGGCGCGAAAGCGUGGGGAGCGAACAGGAUUAGAUACCCUGGUAGUCCACGCUGUAAACGAUGAAUGUUAGGUGUAGGGGGUAUCGACCCCUCCUGUGCCGGAGUAAACACAAUAAACAUUCCGCCUGGGGAGUACGGCCGCAAGGUUGAAACUCAAAGGAAUUGACGGGGGCCCGCACAAGCAGCGGAGCAUGUGGUUUAAUUCGAAGCAACGCGAAGAACCUUACCAGGUCUUGACAUCGAUCUAAAGCCUGUAGAGAUACAGGGGCCCUUCGGGGGAGAGAAGACAGGUGGUGCAUGGUUGUCGUCAGCUCGUGUCGUGAGAUGUUGGGUUAAGUCCCGCAACGAGCGCAACCCUUAUGAUCAGUUACUAACGCGUAGAGGCGAGGACUCUGAUGAGACCGCCGGGGACAACUCGGAGGAAGGUGGGGACGACGUCAAAUCAUCAUGCCCCUUAUGACCUGGGCUACACACGUGCUACAAUGGUGGCAACAAAGAGGAGCGAAGCCGCAAGGCGGAGCGGAUCUCAAAAAAGCCAUCUCAGUUCGGAUUGUGGGCUGCAACCCGCCCACAUGAAGUUGGAGUUGCUAGUAAUCGCGGAUCAGAAUGCCGCGGUGAAUACGUUCCCGGGCCUUGUACACACCGCCCGUCACACCAUGGGAGUUGGGAGCACCCGAAGUCAGUGUGGUAACCGCAAGGGGCCAGCUGCCGAAGGUGAGACUGAUGACUGGGGUGAAGUCGUAACAAGGUAACC